rnacentral:ncRNA from 1 species
CGGUAUCCAGCGAGAGUCGGUUUCCGCAAGGAAUUAAUAGGGAAUCCGCUGUGGCCCCAGGGUCACGAAACGGAACUGCCCCGCAACUGUAGGCGGCGAGCCCGGUCCAACAUGCCACUGGGAGCAAUCCCGGGAAGGCCGGACCAGGCGAUGACCCGCUAGUCAGGAGACCUGCCGGCGCGCGUAACCUUCCG